rnacentral:rRNA from 1 species
UACGAAGGGGGCUAGCGUUGCUCGGAAUUACUGGGCGUAAAGCGCACGUAGGCGGCUUUCUAAGUCGGGGGUGAAAUCCUGGAGCUCAACUCCAGAACUGCCUUUGAUACUGAGGAGCUUGAGUCCGGGAGAGGUGAGUGGAACUCCGAGUGUAGAGGUGAAAUUCGUAGAUAUUCGGAAGAACACCAGUGGCGAAGGCGGCUCACUGGCCCGGUACUGACGCUGAGGUGCGAAAGCGUGGGGAGCAAACAGG